AAUGGUGACUCUGUUUUGUCCUCUACAGAAAGAAAGAGUGAGUCCCUCCCCAUUGGUGGCUCAUGUUCUCCGUCCCUGUUGCACAAGGGUCUAGCAUCAGAACUGUCCUGCAGCCUAGAGGAUUUGCUGUCAGUGGUGGGAAGCACGCAGAACCAUCUAGGCAAGCAUCCAAAAGGACGUACCCAUCCAGAUGUAGCAGACGAUUGUGCUACUACAGUGGCAUAACCCCUGACUGGCAGGUUGUAAAGGCCAAGAAUUCUUGAAUAUUCCCAGAGUGCGUUACCUGGCAAGACAGAGGACUACUAAGGCUUUACUCACACUUGAAUCCACUCCUAUUUCUCAGAAAACUUCACAGGUUGGUAAAAAUCAACCAGAGCAUGGCUGGAAACAGAGGAGGCUUUUCUGGGAAAUUAGCCAUGAAAGCAGAUUAAUAGAGCCCAAGUUCCCCAAGGGAAAUCAAUUGGCCGGGCGUUGGGAAGAAGUGAAGGAACAAUGAGAAUUGGGAUGCAGACAGUGUUCCUGGGAGCUGGGUGAAAAGAACCAGUACUAGACCUUACCUUGAGACCCUGAAGAUCCCUAAGUCCCAAUCCAGUUCCCAGCAAGUACUUCCUGCCUCUUUGGCAUGAGUCCGCAAAGUUGAAGGUGACCUCUGUUGGCAUGGCCAUCUGCCUCGUAUGCUUAGGCCAGGGUAGGAAAACUGCUGAGCUUUGGGUCAUUCCCGACUGCGUCACUCAAGCCUCUAGCUCAAGGAAUUAUCCAUGUUUACUGAUGAUAAUCUCCAAGCCAUGGUAGCCCAGGAGGCCUUCAGUUCUAGAACACAUGCUUCUUUGAACAGGAAAAAAAAAUGAGUGCAAUCCUGAGCUUCUCCCCUUAGUGACAAGAGGCCUGAGGCCACCUGCUUGCUCCCACCAUAGGGACUGGCUACACUCAAACACUCAUCUUUUCCAUUUGUUUGUUUUGUAUUAAAUCUGUAUUUAUUUAUUUUCACCGUAUUUUAAAGACAGAGAGAUGGAGAGAAAGAUCUUCCAUUUGUUGGUUAACUAUACAAAUGCCCGCAACAGCUGAGGCUAGGCCAGGCCAAAGCCAAGAGCCUGGAGCUCAGUCUGGGUUUCCCAUGUGCAUAGCAGGCAUCCAAGUACUUGAGCCAUCAUCUGCUGCCUUCCAGUGUGUGCUUUAACAGAAAGCUGGAAUUGAAGCAGUGAAGCCAGGACUCAAACCAGGUUCACCAAUAUAGCAUGUGGGUGUCCCAAAUGCCACCUUAAC
rnacentral:lncRNA from 1 species